CUCCGUGGCACGUGCGAUCUUCCUGGAGCAGGGAUUGAACCCAUGUCCCCUGCAUUGGCAGGGGUAUUCUUAACCACUGUGCCACCAGGGAAGUCCAAAAUGUAACUUCUUAAUUUGGGGUUCAUACCCACAAGAGUCAAUGGAUGUGCUUCAGGAAAUCUAAACACUCCUAGAAUCUAUGUGUAAACUUCUGUAAUUAUGUGUGUGUUUUGGGGAAAGGGUCCAUAGUUUUCAUCAAAUUUUCAAAAGGAUAUAUUGAUUUUUUUUUCAAAAGGUCAGACCCAUUUUUGUAAACAGCCAAGAGAUGAAUAGAGGAGAAGAUGCAUGAUUUGGAGGGAGAUGCACAGGUUUAUGAUGAUUCACAGGCUCUGUACCUACCAUCAGCAAAGUGAACAUCGUCUGCCCCACAUUGAACCCGUGUCGCCAGUUGUGGUAAGUGACGGCACGGUACCCCUUCCUCACCGUGUACAUCCAUCUGGUGAGAACCUGCCACCAAAGAAGACAACACCACUCAGACUUUGGAGUAGAAUUCUAAAGGUACUUUGAAUUUCUCCACCACAUUUAUUUCAAGAAACAGCCGAAGUCCACACUUAAUCAGUUCGUGCUCUGUGAUGGGGAAGUCGCUGAAGCGGAAUUCAUACAGG